CUGAAAGAGAGGAUGUUUAUCUUGGUCAUUGGGGAUGGGCCAUUACCAUUGUGACGUCGGCGCCCAUGGGUGCUCUCCCUUUUCAAAACGUUUUGAAAGACAAUGCAACCGUCCCAAUGGAAUAUUAUUGAAGCCCUGGUUGAAAAAGCCCCUAAAGAUUUAUGUUAUACAACGUUUGACAUGUUUGAACGAACUUAAAUAUAUAUUUUUUGCUCAUUCCUGACGACAAGUCAGACGCACACGGUACAUUUUCACUAGCCUUCGGAGCGCGCUAACACUAUUGGGACAUAAAUUAUUAACUUUUUUUAACAAAACUACAUUUGUUAUGGACCUGGGAUUCCUAGAAGUGCCUUCUGAUAAAGAUAAUCAAAGACAGAGCCUGCAAAGCCACGAUUCAGCUUUUUACCGCCUUCUGAGACCCUAUGGCAGUUGUAGGAAGUGUCACGGGACAGCUAAGAUCCUCACUCUUCAAUAAACAGAGACAAGAAGAACGACACCUUGUCAGACAGGCCACUUCCUGCCUGAAACCUUGUCAGGUUUUUGCCUGCCAAAUGAGUUCUGUUAUACUCACAGACACCAUUCAAACAGUUUUAGAAACUUUAGGGUGUUUUCUAUCCAUAUGUAAUAAGUAUAUGCAUAUUCUAGUUACUGGGUAGGAGUGGUAACCAGAUUAAAUCGGGUACGUUUUUUAUCCAGCCGUGAAAAUACUGCCCCCUAGCCAUAACAGGUUAAUGCAGCUGGUGGCCACACCAGAUACUGAAUGUUACUUUUGAUUUUGACCCCCCCUUUGUUCAGGGACACAUUAUUCAAUUUCUGUUAGUCACAUGUCUGUGGAACUUGUUCAGUUAAUGUCUUAAUUGUUGAAUCUUGUUAUGUUCACACAAAUAUUUAUGUUAAGUUUGCUAUUUGUUGAAAAUAAACGCAAUUGACAGUGAGAGGACGUUCCUUUUUUUGCUGAGUUGCCAUGAAGCCCAUAAAUACAGUGCCUUGCAAAAGUAUUUAUCCCCC
rnacentral:lncRNA from 1 species